CCUACGGGAGGCUGCAGUGGGGAAUAUUGCGCAAUGGGCGAAAGCCUGACGCAGCGACGCCGCGUGAGGGAUGAAGGUCUUCGGAUCGUAAACCUCUGUCAGCAGGGAAGAACGGUCACUGUGCUAAUCAGCAGUGAAUUGACGGUACCUGCAAAGGAAGCACCGGCUAACUCCGUGCCAGCAGCCGCGGUCAUACGGGGGGUGCGAGCGGUAGUCGGAAUUACUGGGCGUAAAGCGUUCGUAGGCGGUAUGGCAAGUAAAGGGGGAAAUCCCCGCGCUCAACGUGGGAACUGCCUUUGAAACUGGCAAACUGGAGUGGGUGAGAGGAUAGCGGAAUUCCAGGUGUAGGAGUGAAAUCCGUAGAUAUCUGGAGGAACAUCAGUGGCGAAGGCGACUAUCUGGCACAUAACUGACGCUGAGGAGCGAAAGCGUGGGUAGCAAACAGGAUUAGAUACCCGUGUAGUC
rnacentral:rRNA from 1 species